GCAAGUCGAGCGCACUCUUCGGAGUGAGCGGCGGACGGGUUAGUAACGCGUGGGAACAUACCCUUUUCUACGGAAUAGCCUCGGGAAACUGAGAGUAAUACCGUAUACGCCCUUUUGGGGAAAGAUUUAUCGGUGAAGGAUUGGCCCGCGUUUGAUUAGAUAGUUGGUGGGGUAAUGGCCUACCAAGGCUGCGAUGGUUAGCUGGUUUGAGAGAAUGAUC
rnacentral:rRNA from 1 species